UUACAGCCAUAUCAUGUUGAAACACCGGCUCCCGUACGAUCACCGAAGUUAAGCAACGUCGAGUCUGUACCUAGAUGAAUGAUCGCUUGAGAAUACCACGCGCUGCU